CCUGUGUCAGCUUCUUAAAAAGAUAUGUUUCGAAGUCUUGUAGUGGAAAUGAGGAUGUAAGGAUGGAGAGAAAUAUACCCACAGAUGUCCCAAAGCGAGUGAGAACACUUCAGCUAAUAUGAAAACCACAAAGAAGGGUUUAGAGUUAAGGAUUGGAAUAUUGAUUAGGACCUCCUGGUACUGUGUAGGCUGCUGCAAAGGCAACAGUGGCUAUGAAAACAGAAAGAAUGGUGCAAUUCUCAGUGGUGCGCAUUAGCCAUUCCUUGGCAUCUCGAUGGAGUCUCUCAUUCCUAGCAGCAAAUAAUUCUUCAGCAGUCUGGUUAUCUUUGUUGAGAGGCUUGGUCA
rnacentral:lncRNA from 1 species